GUGGGGAAUAUUGCACAAUGGGCGAAAGCCUGAUGCAGCGACGCCGCGUGGGGGAUGACGGUCUUCGGAUUGUAAACCCCUUUCAGUAGGGACGAAGCGCAAGUGACGGUACCUGCAGAAGAAGCACCGGCUAACUACGUGCCAGCAGCCGCGGUAAUACGUAGGGUGCGAGCGUUGUCCGGAAUUACUGGGCGUAAAGAGCUCGUAGGCGGUUUGUCACGUCGUCUGUGAAAUCCCUCGGCUUAACCGGGGGCGUGCAGGCGAUACGGGCAGACUUGAGUACUACAGGGGAGACUGGAAUUCCUGGUGUAGCGGUGAAAUGCGCAGAUAUCAGGAGGAACACCGGUGGCGAAGGCGGGUCUCUGGGUAGUAACUGACGCUGAGGAGCGAAAGCAUGGGUAGCGAACAGGAUUAGAAACCCUAGUAGUCC
rnacentral:rRNA from 2 species